rnacentral:misc_RNA from 1 species
UUAGGCUAUUUUCAUAGUUUAUAAUUCAGACUUCAAUAGAUAUUUCAAGGUUUUAAAUUUUUGGCCAUUGGCAAGUAACACAUCAACUAAUUGAAUAGCCGAUGGGGAAGAAGAAGAUUAAUUCUUUUUUCCGCGACCUGCCAAAGCAACAAUUGGUAUAACAAGCAAGGGGUGGAGAGGUUGUCGCUAAAAUAAAUUCUAGACGACAGGUAUCUCUUUUAAUGAUCCUUCCGCAGGUUCACCUACGGAAA